CACGCCUCUUCAUUCCUGGGAACGAGCUUCGUACUCGUCCGUGGUCGGUUUUCCUGUGUUGCAUACCUAUUGCGAGGGCAUUCGAUCGGUUGAAACUGUCCCGUCUCCGCCUUGUGUCGGCGCUCCAAGCGGGCGUUCGGUAUGGGGUGGAUCUAACAGCACGCGUUGUGUUUCGCGCCGCAUUCACCCGAUUUGGUGUUUGGGUAGGCGAACCACUACGUGCUGCUCGUCGUCUCGGGUGCGGAACAUCGGGUGGGUACGAGGCAAUGUCCUCCGWUCACCACACAAAUGCGUUCUACGCUCUAUGCGAACGACGGCCGCCUCGGCCUUCGGCGGAGCACUUGCUGCUCGGUCGAAGCCGUGUCGGCGUCGGUGAGGGAUGC
rnacentral:misc_RNA from 1 species